UCUCCUGCGGACCGUGACCGAACCACGGCCGCGUGCGGCGCGCGUGAACGAUGCUGGCUGCGUGCACGCUAGCCUAGCUGCGCCGCGAGCGCGACGUGCACGAGCGCCCCCGCAGCGGCUGCGGCUGCAGGCAGGCCAUCGCGCGGCGCGGCGGAUUAACUCGAGCCGGAGUUAACGCGCGCGCCUGCUCUGCUCCUCCUCUAUUCAUCGCCGUCCCCGAAAUGGGCACUGGCCGCGGCGCGGCCGCAGGGCCACGUCCUCGGCGCCCGACCCCCGAGUAAACACGCCUCCCACGUUCUACGCCGCAGCGGCAGCAGCAGCAGCGCCCCCGUGCCUCACCGGCCCGGCGCGCGGCGCUCUUAUUUGAGUCGCAGACGCUUCGCAGGCACAGCCACCUCGCUUACAGCUACAGACCUCGCACGCGCGCAAGCCAUGGCCGGGAGGCGAGAGCACCGGAUCGGAGUCUUGCUCUGCGGCCAUCACGCUCCGUUCGUUCUCCUCCUCGCCGUCACCAAGCUAAGCAACUCCUCCAUCCAUCUGCACCUUUCCGAUUCGGGCGUGGCUAUCUGCUAUUCUGCUGGUUGAUACCAUCGCACGAUGGCUUCGCCGAGACUGAUGGCGUCUCUGGUUGCUUGGUCGGUGUGCAGGGUUCGCGGCAAGGGGGGAGGGCGACCGCCCGGGCAUGGAGGACGGUGGAGUGGGACGGACCUCUAGGGAGAUGACAGAAGAGAGAGAGCACAACCCAGCACCAGCGAGCAGAAAGCCUCGCUUCUGCGAGGGCCGUGUGCUCUCUGCUCUCACUGUCAUCGCCGUCCGGCCACUCCAACAACAACUGUGAACCAUGAUCCGAUCCCUCUGCGGCCAUGCAACUAGCUUCUGCUCGCGGGUGGCGCCGGAGGGCAAGCUCGACGUGCGAGACCGGCGAGGAGCGGCAUGCACGGUGAGGGGCGUGGACGCUUGCGCGCGAACUGGCGGAUGGCCAUUCUCGAGGCCAAUGGCUUCCUCGUCGUCGACCUGCUCGCCACAGCGACCGCGACACGCACCCGACCGUCACCGCCGCACGGGAAGCCAUGGCCGCCUCAUCGCGGGGCGCCAGUUGCGUGCGCUGCGUUCCCAGGCCGCGCGAGCACGAACACCACGCAUAUAAUUAGCUUCUGGGGGAAUACAAUUCUUUGACUACAAUGUUCUCGUGACACAUGGGUGUUCCCUACUGUUACUCAUUCCUCGUUCUUUUUCCGUCCAGAUAGAGAGUAUCCAGUCCCGUUAUAUUCAGUUCAGUGUAAGAAAGCUUUGCUUCCUUGAUCCAAACCGAUUUAUUAACAUUCCAAGACGGCAUCUCUUUGCGUAAAAAGCAGAGAUAUUUUUCUUUUGAUGCCUAAAAUC